rnacentral:other from 1 species
CGGGUUCUGCUCUGUUCGUAAUGGUUGCAUUCCAGUGGCCUUAAGCAAUUCCGAGGGAACUGGCUCUGUCCUGGCCCUGGCCUGGUUACCUGGUGCCCACCUGUAAAUACAGGUCCCCGGGAAUGAGAAAGCCUAACGGCAGCUGCGGUCCCGCU